rnacentral:piRNA from 1 species
UCGGGUGUUUUCAGAAACAAGGAUAGG